AGUGAACGCUGGCGGCAGGCCUAAUACAUGCAAGUCGAACGGCAGCACAGCAGAGCUUGCUCUGUGGGUGGCGAGUGGCGGACGGGUGAGGAAUACGUGGGAAUCUGUCCAGUCGUGGGGGAUAACGUAGGGAAACUUACGCUAAUACCGCAUGCGCCCUUCGGGGAAAGGCCGGGGACCGUUCGGGCCGUGGCGCGAUUGGAUGAGCCACGUCGGAUUAGCUAGUUGGCGGGGUAAAGGCCCGACCAAGGCGACGAUCCGUAGCUGGUCUGAGAGGAUGAUCAGCCACACUGGAACUGAGACACGGUCCAGACUCCUACGGGAGGCAGCAGUAGGGAAUAUUGGACAAUGGGCGCAAGCCUGAUCCAGCCAUGCCGCGUGAGUGAAGAAGGCCCUCGGGUUGUAAAGCUCUUUUGUCCGGAAAGAAAAGCGCCGGGUUAAUACCCUGGUGUCCUGACGGUACCGGAAGAAUAAGCACCGGCUAACUUCGUGCCAGCAGCCGCGGUAAAG
rnacentral:rRNA from 1 species